rnacentral:rRNA from 2 species
CGCCUGGGGAGUACGGCCGCAAGGUUAAAACUCAAAUGAAUUGACGGGGGCCCGCACAAGCGGUGGAGCAUGUGGUUUAAUUCGAUGCAACGCGAAGAACCUUACCUGGUCUUGACAUCCACGGAAGUUUUCAGAGAUGAGAAUGUGCCUUCGGGAACCGUGAGACAGGUGCUGCAUGGCUGUCGUCAGCUCGUGUUGUGAAAUGUUGGGUUAAGUCCCGCAACGAGCGCAACCCUUAUCCUUUGUUGCCAGCGGUCCGGCCGGGAACUCAAAGGAGACUGCCAGUGAUAAACUGGAGGAAGGUGGGGAUGACGUCAAGUCAUCAUGGCCCUUACGACCAGGGCUACACACGUGCUACAAUGGCGCAUACAAAGAGAAGCGACCUCGCGAGAGCAAGCGGACCUCAUAAAGUGCGUCGUAGUCCGGAUUGGAGUCUGCAACUCGACUCCAUGAAGUCGGAAUCGCUAGUAAUCGUGGAUCAGAAUGCCACGGUGAAUACGUUCCCGGGCCUUGUACACACCGCCCGUCACACCAUGGGAGUGGGUUGCAAAAGAAGUAGGUAGCUUAACCUUCGGGAGGGCGCUUACCACUUUGUGAUUCAUGACUGGGGUGAAGUCGUAACAAGGUAACCGUAGGGGAACCUGCGGUUG